rnacentral:rRNA from 1 species
UACGUAGGUGGCAAACGUUGUCCGGAUUUACUGGGCGUAAAGAGCGCGCAGGCGGUCGUUCAAGUCGAGUGUGAAAGCCCCCGGCUCAACUGGGGAGGGUCACUCGAUACUGAUCGACUCGAAGGCAGGAGAGGGAAGUGGAAUUCCCGGUGUAGUGGUGAAAUGCGUAGAUAUCGGGAGGAACACCAGUGGCGAAGGCGACUUCCUGGCCUGUUCUUGACGCUGAGGCGCGAAAGCUAGGGGGGCAAGCGGG